GUACACGCUGUGACUAGCAUAUCAAUAAGCGGAGGAAAAGAAACUAACAAGGAUUCCCUCAGUAACGGCGAGUGAAGCGGGAAGAGCUCAAAUUUGAAAUCUUGAAAGGUCACCUUUCACGAAUUGUAGUUUAAAGAAGUGUUUUCUGUUACGAUCGUAAUAUAAGUUCUUUGGAAUAGGACAUCACAGAGGGUGAGAAUCCCGUCUAUGAUUGCGAUUUGUAGCUUUGUGAUACACCUUCAAAGAGUCGGGUUGUUUGGGAAUGCAGCCCAAAACGGGAGGUAAAUUUCUUCUAAGGCUAAAUAUUGGCGAGAGACCGAUAGCGAACAAGUACCGUGAGGGAAAGAUGAAAAGAACUUUGAAAAGAGAGUUAAAUAGUACGUGAAAUUGUCAAAAGGGAAGCGUUUAACACCAGUGUUGUUUUCUGAAAAUCAACCUCUGUUAGCUUUAUGCAUGUUUGUUUAGACCUAAUCAGCUAUCUUUCAUGUUCUAUUGUUUGCAGUGGUGCACUUUUCAGUUUACAGGUCAACAUCAGUUUUUUUUACCGUAAAAAAGUUAAAGAAAGGUAGCUCAUGGCUCCGGUCGUGAGUGUUAUAGUCUUUUUCCUAUGCGGUAGGAGAGACUGAGGUCUGCAGUGUAGGCUAUUUGGCUAGAUACUCAGGUGCUAUGUGAUACCAUUUCAUAAACAACUUGUUGAUUAUGUUUUGUCUAUUGCAUACUCGCUUGUACUAUCAUACCUACGCUUAGGAUGUUGAGUAGCGACAUACGCAC
rnacentral:rRNA from 1 species